ACUCUGUAAUUUGUUACAAACAAUAUAUUUUACAAAAGUAUAAUAAAAUUAUGGAAACAAAAUAUACCCAAAUUAUCCUUUCCCUACAAAUAUAUAUUGCUUCGUAUAUGGCAAUUGACUUUUUGUUAAUACAUCGGAAACGCAACAUUAGCGCCAAACUGCUUCAAGGAAUCAAGUUGAGAGCUCGCGAUGGUGAAGAAGAAGAAGAAGAAAGUGCAAUUGAAUCGUUGUAUGAUCGAAGAAAUCCCAUCUCCAAUUUUAUGGGAAAUUUUAUCAAGACUCCCAACUAAAACAUGCUUAAUAAUUUGUAAGCUUGUUUGCAAAACCUGGAAUUCUAUCAUCAAAGAUCCACAUUUUGCUAAUUUCCGUCGUUGUCGUGGUCGCUAUUCCACCCUAUUUGCUUUAUGGUGAUUUCAUUAGAGAGAGGUUCGUCUAUAAUGACUCGGGUUGUGACCCGGGUUGUUCGUUUCUGGUUCUUGACAUAGACAACAAGAGCCCAAAUGUUAAUGAGAUGGGUAACCUAGCUUGUAGUUAAUCCCGAUAUGAUGAUUAGGUACCAGAAUAAAUUUAUAGUGAAGAAUCAUAUGCGUUUGGUUAAUGAAUGUAAUGGGUUAAUCUU